rnacentral:rRNA from 1 species
AACAAAAACAUGUCUUUUAGAAUUAUAUUUAAAGUCUAACCUGCCCACUGAAAUUUUAAAUGGCCGCAGUAUUCUAACUGUGCAAAGGUAGCAUAAUCAUUAGUCUUUUAAUUGAAGGCUGGAAUGAAUGGUUGGACGAAGUAUUAACUGUUUCAUUUAAAUUUUUUAUAAAAUUUUAUUUUUUAGUCAAAAAGCUAAAAUUUAUUUAAAAGACGAGAAGACCCUAUAAAUCUUUAUAUUUUAUAUUUAUAUUAAUUAUAAAGGUUAUUUUAAUUAUAAUAAAUUAAAAUAUUUUAUUGGGGNGAUAUUAAAAUUUAAAAAACUUUUAAUUAUAAAAAUCAUUAAUAUAUGAUUAAUUGAUCCAUUAAUAAUGAUUAAAAAAUUAAGUUACUUUAGGGAUAACAGCGUAAUUUUUUUGGAGAGUUCAUAUCGAUAAAAAAGAUUGCGACCUCGAUGUUGGAUUAAGAUAUAA